UACAGAGGGGGCAAGCGUUAUUCGGAAUUACUGGGCGUAAAGCGUGCGCAGGCGGUGAUGUAAGACAGAUGUGAAAUCCCCGGGCUUAACCUGGGAACUGCAUUUGUGACUGCAUCGCUGGAGUGCGGCAGAGGGGGAUGGAAUUCCGCGUGUAGCAGUGAAAUGCGUAGAUAUGCGGAGGAACACCGAUGGCGAAGGCAAUCCCCUGGGCCUGCACUGACGCUCAUGCACGAAAGCGUGGGGAGCAAACAGG
rnacentral:rRNA from 1 species